UGCCAGAUUCGUCACAAAUAUAGAAAAUAUACUGUUCACACGGACAGAGUCUCCCCUGUAUUUGCACGGCGUUGCACGAGUAUAAGAUACAAUUUUCAUAAUACAGGAUACAACCACAGAUAUGAAUAUACACAAAUUCAUAUGCCAUUCAUAUUCACAUUCACAUUCAUUUCAUUACAAAUAUCCAUAAAUCCACAUUUAUCAGUUUAAAAUAUUUUCCACCCGAAAACUCAUUUUUAAAGGACUAAGAGUCAAGAAAACCAACAAAAACUUUUUCAAAAUCGUUUCCCACACGAAAAUUCUUUUUCUUUAAAAUACGCUAUCACGAGGGGUAGAAAACCAUUUUCAUCUCAAAGAAAAUCAUAAGUUCUUUAAUUUAUUUACCAAAAUCACAUUUAUCCAAGUAAACAAAAACCAACUGAACCAAU
rnacentral:lncRNA from 1 species